GUGGCCUCCGCCUGGAGUGUGCGGAUAGUGAGGGCCUGCCGCGGAGGUGACCAGCGUGGUCAGCAGCGAGAAGAUGGAUAGUCUCGCAUUUUUACCUUUAAGCCCGUGAUGCAUUUUUAGUUCAUUUGUGCAUGAGAUGGAGGUUUGGUGUGAGUCCGUCUGUGUCUGCUUUGGACUGCUGAUUGUGGCGAUGUCAUGUCCUGAAAAGCGUGUCACUCUUCCGUGGAACUGCUUUGCUCGGUUGUCAGAGAGCAUGCAGGACAUUGGUACAAUCUUCUCCAUUUUACAGACAAAGAGCUCUUCGGCUGAGAAAUCUGUAUAACUGGC